rnacentral:rRNA from 1 species
AGAGUUUGAUCAUGGCUCAGGAUGAACGCUAGCUACAGGCUUAACACAUGCAAGUCGAGGGGAAACGACAUCGAAAGCUUGCUUUUGAUGGGCGUCGACCGGCGCACGGGUGAGUAACGCGUAUCCAACCUGCCCGCCACUUGGGGAUAACCUUGCGAAAGUAAGACUAAUACCCAAUGACGUCUCUAGAAGACAUCUGAAGGAGAUUAAAGAUUUAUCGGUGAUGGAUGGGGAUGCGUCUGAUUAGCUUGUUGGCGGGGUAACGGCCACAAGGCGACGAUCAGUAGGGGUUCUGAGAGGAAGGUCCCCCANAUUGGAACUGAGACACGGUCCAAAACUCCUACGGGAGGCA